AUCCUGCUCAUGCUUACAUGGAGUACCAGGCAACAUUGCUUCAAAGGGAGUUUUCAGGAGGGAACCAUGACAGUUUCAGUAUUUUAUAUGAUGGAUUACAUUUCUGAUUGUUGUAUGUUGAACCACCUCUGCAUCUUUGGGAGGAGAUGUACCUUAUUGUGGUGUGUGAUAUAAUGUCUUUUUGUUUUACAAGAGGUUUCAGUCAUGGUCAUACCAGCGGGAUGCUGUCACCAGUAACAAGAUAGAGUCUAUUUUUAAUAUUUCUGAUGGAGAUCAUGGUGAUGACUAUGAUCUGUACUGCUUCUGGAGAAACUGCUGAAUUCCAUGGUCCAUACUGAUACCCAAGAUCAUUAUGAGAAAUUGGGCAGGAAUCCAUUAUAUCUAUUGCUGAUGGAGAUGCUGAUGAUGGCUAUGAUCUGUGUUGCUGCUUGAGAAUCUGAUAAAUUCCAAAGUCCUUACUGAUGCUUGAAUUCAUAUUGAGAUGAAGUGUACUCCCAGCCUAACCAUUUUGAUGUCAUGAUGCAUCCUACCACUAGAGAAGAGGUUUCUCUACAAGGUCCUACUAGUGAUCACAUCUGAAUGCUGAAGAUAUGCUGAUAUCAUUGCUGUUUCCUGUGAUAAGCAAGCAUAAUGGAAUCUAUUACAUGAAGAUCCUAUUACUAAUGGAGACCCUGGUAACGGUUAUGAGCAGUGUUGCUUCUGGAGAAACUGCUGAAUGCCAAGGUAAAUGCUGAUACACAAUGCCAUAUUCAGGUAAGUGUUGUUAUCUGACACUAAAUAGAAAUUUGAUGUCUGAGAUCCUACUCACUACAGGAAGUUCUGUUGAUGUCCCUGAUGCAGUCAUGUAGCUCCUGAUGUGAAACAUGUAUGGUAUUUUCAUUAUAAUGAUUCUACCUGUAAC